UAUGGUAAGCCAUAUCACCCUGCAACUCACAACUGGCAGCCCACUGAAGCUAAGCAGGUGUGAGUCUGGUUAGUACCUGGAUGGGAGACCUCCUGGGAAAAACUAAGGUUGCUGCUGGAA
rnacentral:rRNA from 1 species